AUGCUGGGAAGGUCUCCAGGGGGAAGCCGCCAGCUCCUUCCCAGCGUGCCAGAUGCUUUGUUCUGCAGGCUCCUGGACACCGAUGCAGCCGGGAGCAAAGAUGAGAUUCAGCCCAGGCACCCUCGUAUCUUCCAGCAGCGAUGCGCCGUGCAGCCCAUCUUUCUACAGGGCCGCGGGGGUCAGCUCUCGCUCCAGGUACGAUCUCGUGCAUUGGAGAAACUCUCAGAUCAAAUCCCCGAGAGCUCCUGUGUCGUUCGGCCGCUGACGUGUUUCUGUCACCCGCGCUCCCAUGCAGGUCAAGAGCCCCGUCGGCUCCUCAUUUCUGCUUGUCUCUGCGCUCGUGCUGCCCAGCUCGCAGGGCGGGAGCAUGGAGAGGGCUCGAAUGAUCUUUCCGCUCUCCCUGGACCAGCAAGGAUGAGGUUUCUGAGGCUUCACGCUGGGAUAAAGGAGUGUAAUCCGGGCUUGGCUGUGGGCCUUUUCUGCUGCGUCUCGUGGGGAGGAAAGAAAAAGCCCGUGGUGAAAUCUUCCUGUAUCGCCCUUCGCCCCAAGAAAGCAGCCUCCGAGGAGCCGUGCCGAGCAGCUGUUACCUGUGGUUCUUAGAAGACUUUUUAAGCAAUCCUGCAUGCAGGACAUGGACCAAGCAGCCAGAAACAUCUAAGAAAUAAGCACCCGGUGCUUUCUCCAUCUCCAGCCUGGCACAGCCAGGUCUCUGCCUCCGGGAAGAAGGUACAGCAAGGUCUCUCCCU
rnacentral:lncRNA from 1 species